rnacentral:lncRNA from 1 species
AGGGGCCUUGUCGGUUCUGCGGGGCGAGCGCCUUCGCGGAAAACUCCAAAGUACCCUCUGUGGAGCCUUGUUGAGUAUCUUCAAACCUUCAGAGGGACCUUUUAUCAGCGACCCAUGCCGCAGUUUACAGAAGAACGCUUUGUGCGUGCUUUGGGACGAGUCUUUGGAAAUGAUGGUUCUGACUCUGAGUUGGAAACUGGAACGCACACAACAGAUGGGAGGCGUUGAAGGAAACAGAAAGGUCGGCCUGAGGGGAGAGGCGUUUCAGGAGGCUUGCGGAUGUGUGAAGUGUGCGCACUGUGCUUGGGGCGAGCCCAAGCAGUAACCCCACCCGAGUGAAGCGUUCUUGGGGGGAUCGGCUCCGGGUGGGCGACGUUCCCCGCGUGCCCCCUUCCCCCGAGAGCACUUUGUAGACACUGACUCCAAAAGCGGGUCUGGUCUCUGCCCAGCCCCACUUUGGCUGGCGUGCUUAGGUGCCUCUCGGGAAGCUGGAGACCACCCUCCCCCAUUCCAGCAAACGCUCCAUUGAGGAACCUACUGCGUGCCAGGUCCUGGGGAGCUUAGCGUCUGAUGAAGGAUACAACAACAAAAGACUGGAAAUUCAGAAGCAUGAGGGGACCUCCCCCCUCGAGGGAGAACCAGAGAUGGCUUCACAGAGCAGACGUUUGAACUGGGCCUUGGAGGAUGGAUGAGUGGAAUUUGGCCCAGUGGAGAAAGUCAUAGCAGCAGGAGAUAAGAUUGUAAGGGUCAGGUGGUGGGGCUGGAUAAUGCGAAUCUUGACUGUCAGACACAGACACCUGCCAUCUAAUUAGUACGCGAGGGAUAAAUUUUGGACUCCGCAGGAUAAGGACAAGGCUACACAAUGGCU